UUUUACAGUGUCUUGGAAUAUUUUUCUUCUGCACAAUUCUGACUUUUCAGCACAUAUGCAUUCUACAGCAACAGAAGGAAAGAAAACAAAAAGGACUCAGAGGUUUUACAAUGAACCUUGCAGUGGGCAUACCAUGGAGCCAGACCACCAGCAGAGCAUUAAACAGGGACAGAUGUGAAUGCCAGGAUAAAAAUGAAGACAUUCCUGAAGUGGCGACCCUUGGAAAACACAUUCACAAGGAAGGAACGGGGAACCAGAGAAAGUCCAUUGCAAAAGGAUACCCGUGCAGGUGUGGGGAAAGUUCCAGGUCCUACAGAACUGCUGUUACUGCUGUUUUCAGCAUCAGCCAAAGCUUAAUUUCUCCUCUGUGACCAACUGCUCUGGCUCAGUGGGCAUCAGCGGUGUAAGAUUCCUCUCCCACCUGGCACACACCAGUCCAGCAGCCAGCCUGUGUGCUAUGCCAGUCCUGGGCUUUGUCACACAGCACUGCCCAAAGAUGGUCUCCACUGGCCGCAGGCAUCCUGAAACACAGCUAAGCACAUUCCCAUUCUCAGGAAUCUACAGCAAAUCCACUGAGUUCCUUGGAGAUGGAAAUGGCUCUCACUGUGGCUUUUGGCUUUCCAGCCACUUCCAGUAGGCAGCACGGGUACUCUGGCAGCAGAAGCCAGCUGAUACACUAAACCAUGCUAAAGUAGUGUUUAGAGAAAUGGUAAUUACUAACAUCCUUUCUCAGUCAAGCCGACACUAACCAGGCCUACUGCUAGGUGUGUGUAUAUACACACUCACACUCAAUAGAUAAAUAGAUACGUGCAUAUACUCCAGGAAAAAUAUCUCUCUGGAAGGUGACGAGGUCUCACUUUAAAUCAAGUACCUGACACUAAUAAAAACAAUGUAUUCAGCCAGAAGACCUCGCACACCGACUGGCUACAAGGUAAGUCAGUAUGAAGCAACCCUUU